ACGAGCAUGUCCACCAUAUAUUCAUACCAUGAAAGCCUAAACAUAUGCUCACUGUUAACUUAAGCAUCACAUCAAAAAGCUAAGCACUUUAAUUUCUCCAUAGAUGGUAAAGGAAACAAGAACCUGCAACAGCAAUAUAUAUCAAUGUUGGGGACCA